rnacentral:misc_RNA from 1 species
GAUGAAGAACGUAGUGAAAUGCGAUAAGUAAUGUGAAUUGCAGAAUUCAGUGAAUCAUCGAAUCUUUGAACGCACAUUGCGCCCGGCAGUACUCUGCCGGGCAUGCCUGUUCGAGCGUCAUUUCAACCCUCAAGCCCUGCUUGGUGUUGGGGUUCCACGGCCGCCGUGGGCCCUGAAAGGAAGUGGCGGGCUCGCUACAACUCCGAGCGUAGUAAUUCAUUAUCUCGCUUAGGGCGUUGGGCGGCGCUCCUGCCGUUAAAGAACCAUCUUUAACUCAAGGUUGACCUCGGAUCAGGUAGGAAUACCCGCUGAACUUAAGCAUAUCAAUAAGCGGAGGA